rnacentral:rRNA from 1 species
CCCUUGGGUCCGGCAUAACCCCGGGAAACUGGGGAUAAUUCCGGAUAACGCACAUAUGCUGGAAUGCUUUAUGCGUCAAAUGGAUUCGUCUGCCCAAGGAUGGGUCUGCGGCCUAUCAGGUAGUAGUGGGUGUAAUGUACCUACUAGCCGACGACGGGUACGGGUUGUGAGAGCAAGAGCCCGGAGAUGGAUUCUGAGACAUGAAUCCAGGCCCUACGGGGCGCAGCAGGCGCGAAAACUUUACAAUGCGGGAAACCGUGAUAAGGGGACACCGAGUGCCAGCAUCAUAUGCUGGCUGUCCGGGUGUGUAAAAUACACCUGUUAGCAAGGGCCGGGCAAGACCGGUGCCAGCCGCCGCGGUAACACCGGCGGCCCGAGUGGUGAUCGUGAUUAUUGGGUCUAAAGGGUCCGUAGCCGGUUUGGUCAGUCCUCCGGGAAAUCUGACGGCUUAACCGUUAGGCUUUCGGAGGAUACUGCCAGGCUUGGAACCGGGAGAGGUAAGAGGUACUACAGGGGUAGGAGUGAAAUCUUGUAAUCCCUGUGGG